CCUACGGGAGGCAGCAGUGAGGAAUAUUGGUCAAUGGACGGAAGUCUGAACCAGCCAUGCCGCGUGCAGGAAGACGGCUCUAUGAGUUGUAAACUGCUUUUGUACAAGGGUAAACCUGAAUACGUGUAUUCAGCUGAAAGUACUGUACGAAUAAGGAUCGGCUAACUCCGUGCCAGCAGCCGCGGUAAUACGGAGGAUCCAAGCAUUAUCCGGAUUUAUUGGGUUUAAAGGGUGCGUAGGCGGUUUGAUAAGUUAGAGGUGAAAUGUCCGAGCUUAACUCCGGAACUGCCUCUAAUACGGGUGAUGUAGAGAGUAGGUGCGGUAGGCGGAAUGUAAGGGGUAGCGGGGAAAUGCUUAGAGAUCAUACAGAAAACCGAAUGCGAAGGCAGCUUACCAAUCUAUAUCUGGCGUUGAUGCUCGAAAGUGUGGGUAUCAAACAGGAUUAGAUACCCUUGUAGUC
rnacentral:rRNA from 1 species